GACGAAGGGGGCUAGCGUUGUUCGGAAUUACUGGGCGUAAAGCGCACGUAGGCGGAUUAGUAAGUCAGGGGUGAAAGCCCGGGGCUCAACCUCGGAACUGCCUUUGAUACUGCUGAUCUCGAGUCCGGAAGAGGUGAGUGGAAUUCCUAGUGUAGAGGUGAAAUUCGUAGAGAUUAGGAAGAACACCAGUGGCGAAGGCGGCUCACUGGUCCGGUACUGACGCUGAGGUGCGAAAGAGUGGGGAGCAAACAGG
rnacentral:rRNA from 1 species